rnacentral:lncRNA from 1 species
UGUGGCUGUAGUUGAGGAUGUACAGAGUAGGUCUGGGCAACAGGUGAGAACAGGCAACUCAGAACCUGGUGAGUUUAGUUACGAAGUGGGGUGAGGAGCACAGCAAUCCCGUUGCCGGAGACGUGUUGAGAAAUGCACACUAGCCCCCGCCACCCACCGCAAACUCUUAGCUAUCUUGGGUUGGUCCCAUGCCCUUCGUCUAUGGAGAGGAUUUCUCAUUUGCUGAAAUAGUGUACACACUGAUACAGUCAGUGGAUGUUUAGGGUCCCUAAUACAAAAGUUAAAGCUCACAACAGUUCUCCAAAAGGCCAGGGAAAGGACACUGUCCCUCACUCAGGAGAUCAGGAAAAUUAGAGUUGGUGAAUUAACAUCCAGUCUCUCUUGCCGAAAGGUUCCUUGAGUGCAGAUGCUAUGGUUAUGCAGUAAACAAAGUUGUAUCAGAGCUGCUGCUGCUGGGAUUAAGGGGUCAGUGUGGGAUAGCGAUGAGUUUCACACAGUGUGCGCUUGUCCAGGUAGGACUAGGUGUGAGAUCUGGUCAGUGUCACGAUCUUGUACAUUUUGGGAGAAGGGAGCCGUGAAAGGCACAGCACAACAGGAACGUGGCUUUAGUUGUGGGAGACUUGUGGGAAGAAGGCAACUGAGAUCACAACCAGAGGUCCAGGAGAGGGACAGACUGAAGGAGGCGUGUGGGUCAGAGGAAGGCCGUAGCCUGAGCACCUCUGUGCUCAACAGGAAGCAGCUGGCUGGGUGCGGAGACGGCAUGGCUGGAACUGGAGGUACCGGUGUCCCCGGUGUGGAGGCAGACGUGUCCUUGGGCUGUGGGAGUGGGAUCGGCGAGGGGCGUAGCAUUUCACAGGACCGAGGAUUGAGUGGUGUUGACAUAAUGUGCAGAGGGCAGAGAGCUUGGUGGAGAUGCAUCAGGGACGAAGCUGAGGAAGUUCACGAAGGAUCCAUGGCGUCGGGACAGUAACACCUGGGAUGGCACGGAGAAGGGUGAGCAGUAGCACGUGUGUGGAGGCAGAGCUGGGACAGGUGAAUGGCAGGAACCCCUACAGGUGAGAAGUCAUCCUGCUCCAGUUCCCCUUGCCCUCUCCCUGUGGGGACAGUCUCUGUCUCUUGCGGCCCCUGGUGUUUCAGAGCCAAGCUCUUCACGGGAAUGCAGACGGGACAGGAACGUGAGGGAUAACGCAGCCAUGUGAAGCCUGUCUGGGGUGCGAAGGGCACCGCGAGCAGAGGGGAGGGAGAGCGGAAGCUGACGGCACUUGCCAGGACGCAGAGGCCUCUCCACGCCACACUCCUCACUCACUCGACGGACAGGACACAUCAUACACGGAGGACUUAAUCGAUGAAGGUGGCUCUGAAAGACACAAGUGGCUUUGAGGUGCCUGCCAGACGGCAGACACUGGGAUUGUGCAGUGAACGGGACAGGCGCGGUCCGUGGCCUGCUGCAGGCUACGCUCCAGGAGGGACACAGACCACAAGCAAAGGAAGAGCGAGCCAGGAACGAGCCGGCUGAUGUGAUGGAGAAUGACUGUGGGGCAGACGGAGAGUGGGCACCGCCUCUCCGGGCCGUGACAGAGGAGUGGCUGUCAGGAGCCUCAGGUGGCAGAGGGUGUGGCAUGUUUGGCAGAGAAGGGAGGGUGGGAGAAAGGGGCUAGGCAAGAAGUGGGGGGACUCUGCAGAGUGUGGACAGAGCACGUGAGCCCGUGCUUUCAAAGACCUACUGGAUUCCGUGUAGGCAGCGAGCGGAUGGAGGGCCGGCAGCAGAGGAACGUGGCCCGAAGCAGGUUCAUGGGUGCAGCCGGAAAGGGCUGGGGCGAGGGGACUUUGCGGCUGGCAGAAAUGACCGGACUUGGUGCUCCGCUGGAUGGGGGGUGGGGAGAGGGCAGGAGGGCUGAGGCCACAGCUUCCUACGCUGCAGGCUGACCUCACUUCGCACAGGUGUGCACCACGGUUAGCACAUCGGCCACGUCACCUCUGUGCUAGGCGCUUCCGUUAACUCUGAAUCGCUGGAGACCAGGGAAUUGAGACCAACUUGUAUUUUUUUUUUUUCUUUUAAUUACAGGGCCCUGAGAGUAUUUUUCUUCUGCCUCCUUGGGUCUCACAUUGUGUCCUAAUGUCACUGUUAGGGCUUUUAAAGUCUCUUCGGCAGGAAUUUGUAGUGACAGAUGAUGGGGUCUGUUCUCAGGUCCCAGAUUCAGGGAAGGACUGGAAAGUGCUCAGUGAGGAGACAGACCCUUGGGGACCAGCCAGAGAGUCACAGAGGUCCCACCUGAAAUGGCGGGUUCAUCCAGAGGGAAGCACUUUGACGGGGUCACGGAGCUCACAACAAAGAUCAGGGAAACAGCCAGAAGGUAGGCAGAACUCUGCCCUCACCUGGGGCUGCGGAAGAACUCAUUUUUUGUAAUGAGCAGGUCUGAGCUGGAGUCUGCCCCAGUGUUCUAGAUUAAAUACCUUUGAAAUGUACCCACAACACAAGAUUUCAAAUGUUAGCUGAUGGUAAUAGCACUUAGACAGGGGUGGAGAUUUUUUAUGUGUCGCUCUAAUUCUCCCUUAUUACAACUGAUUCUGCUGCUUCUGAACCAGGAAUAUUAAAAUCCGCACAUGUGCCCUCACCCGCAUAGCAGCUCUUUGUAUAUUUGAAAAAAAAAAAAAACCCUUUUCUCAUCCAGCUUAACUUCAUCCAAAACACAUUUCUCCUGAUUAUUUUUGCCUUUCUUCCAAAGCUCUAUUUUGGUUUUUGCUUCUCUUAAACUUUUUAAUCAAAAAACUGUUAAGGUGAAGUGAAAUUCAUGUAACAAAAUUAGCCAUGUUCAAGUGAACAAUCCAGGUGUAUUUAGCACACACAUUCAAUUAUACAAUCACCACGUCUAUCCAGUUCCAAGCAUUUUCACCCCCUACAAGGAAACCAUCUACCCAUUUGGGAAUUACUCCUCUUUCUCUCUACAGAUUUGCCUGUUCUGGAGAUUUCAUAGAAAGGGUAUGACCUUCCGUGCCUGCCCCUCUCAUCAGCAGGUUUAAACCUGUAUCACUAGUUCCAUCCUUUUCGUGGCUAAAUAAUACUCCAGUGCAUGGACAGACCAGGGCUCUGUCUUUCUGUAUCUCUUGGAGUGAACCACUGUGGCUGCAUACAUUGAGACAGUCCACGGCCACUGCUGCCUCUUCUGCUUAAUUGAAAGCUGCCAUUGUAGGGUGCUCAGUAAUUUGUAAAAGCCAGCUCUUUAUUUAACCCACACCCUAGAAGAAAACAUUACAUCUUGACCCAGUUUCCACUGGCUACUUUCUGUUGAAACAGAAAAUUGUCUAAGAGGAGUAUUUGCUUUUGUGUUUUUUAAGCAAAUGAAACACUCAGUAUCUUUGUAAACUCUACCAUUUAGCAGUGAUUUCUUUUUAAUCCUUGGGAACAUCACUGCUGUCUAGGAUGUGGUUCCUGAGGCUGUGGGAUCUGAGUGUGAAGAAGGUAAAAACUCACCCCGUGCCAGGUUCCACUCCCCCUGUUCAGCCGUCUUCAUGCUGUUCCUAUCUCUAGUUCGGUGACUUCCUCAGGGCCACAAGCCUCUGCGUCUCCUCUGAAGUUCUGUUCUUUUUUUUUAAAUUUUUUUUUUCAACGUUUAUUUAUUUUUGGGACAGAGAGAGACAGAGCAUGAGCGGGGGAGGGGCAGAGAGAGAGGGAGACACAGAAUCGGAAACAGGCUCCAGGCUCUGAGCCAUCAGCCCAGAGCCUGACGCGGGGCUCGAGCUCCCGGACCGCGAGAUCGUGACCUGGCUGAAGUCGGACGCUUAACCGACUGCGCCACCCAGGCGCCCCUGAAGUUCUGUUCUUAAGUCAAAAUAAACAAUUUGUUUAAUAGAAUUCUUUUUUCCUUUAGCCCUUAUUUUUGAUAGAGCAUGAGCAGGAAAGGGGCAGAGAGAGGGAGGGAAACACAGAAUACAAAGCAGGCUGCAGGCUCUGACCUGUCAGCACAGAGCCCAACAUGGGGCUGGAACCCAUGAACGGAGAGAUAAUGACUUAGGCCAAAGUCAGCCGCUUAACUGAGCCACCCAGGCGUCCCUGAAGUAGAGUUCUUGAAGGUGGAUUUCUGAGAAAUAUAUUAUGUUGGCCUGAAAAAAGUAAAAGGCUUCAAUUGCCAUGGUAUUUUUAGGAGUUCUAGGGUCAUCUCUUGAUGGUGGGGCUCAGAGCUUCCCCCCUCCAUUAAACUUUUUCUUUAAUGUUUUUUAUUUAUUUCGAGAGAGAAUCCCAAGCAGGCUCCACCUUUCAGUGCAGAGUCUGACAUGGGGCUCAAUUUCACACCGUGAGAGCAUGACCUGAGCCAAAAUCAAGAGUCGUCCACUUAACCGACUUAGCCACCCAGGUGCCCCUAAACGUUUUUGGGUUUUUUUUUUUUUUUUGGCAUAACAUGCCCACAGCGCUUUAAAAUUUAUUUAUUUUUAUUUUUGAGACUGCGUGUGUGCCCAAGAGAGUGGGGGAGGGGCGGGGGGAAUAUCAAGCAGGCUCCAAGCUCAGCACAGAGCCUGACGUGGGGCUAGAUCCCACGAUCCUGGGAUCAUAACCUUAGAUGAAAUCAAGAGUCGGAUGCUCAACCAACUGAGCGACCCAGGCGCCCCCACAGCGCUUUAGAAUGAAGAAAACCGUUUUGAUAAAAGCCGUUAUGCCAAGAAUCUGCUGAAAGGAGCUUCUCGACACACAGAGGCCACUGGCAACGGCAGUGGCCCUCAAACUCCAGUGUGCUCGGACUCACCCGGGGGCCGUGUCCAGGCACAGUGAUUGGGGGCGGGCCCCAGGAAUAGGCAUUUGUGACGGGUUCCCAGUGCUGCUGCUGCGGCUGACCCGGGAACCCCGCUCAAGCCCCCGCUCUGGCUGCUCUGUGGCAGCCGCCCUCCAACUGAGGCUGUUUCCUUGCCAGCCUGGCUGACGGCACAGCCUCCCAGGAACCUUCCAGAGGAAAGGGGUCUUCGAGACCAGGAGACAGGUGCUGCGCAUGGGACAGCUGGGGCCCAGGUGAGCUGUGCUUGACCCCCGUUGUCUCUUGAGGUUCCCAUUUCGCUCACUCUUACCCCCACGCCCCUUCACGUCGAGAUGUCAGAGAGAUCACGAGGUCCUUCCACUGGCCUUCCUCGCGUUGUUUCUGUCCACGUGUCGUCUUCACAAAGCUCUUUCCUCACCCUGAUGCUUCCCUAGGCCUGACGUCCCCUGUCUCGCUUUGCGAGGCCUUUGGCCACGUCUCUGCCCCGCACCAGGCUAGAGCGGUGCUACUUAACGGCAGCAGCAGCCCCCGGUGUCGUUACAGGGAGCGGCCACGUGUGAGGACAGAGCUGCACUCCUCGGUCAGGAAAGGCGGAUACACCUCGGCCCGGCACAGAGGGCCCUCCGCAGGGACAUUUCACAGAGGAAUGACAAAAACGACUCUCUGGGUAAGGAUGCCUGUUCCCUCAGGCCCAGAGUGGAGGUGUUCAUUUGUUCAGAGACAGAGAGACUGGGAGACCGGAGAAAGGAGACAGAGGCAGACCACUGGGUCGAGGCAAGAAGGAAAUAAACAGGAAGAGCCUGAGAGCAGGUAUGAGACACAGAGACCGGAAGAAAGGGAAGGACAGGCCAGAGGGCUGACGACAGGGUGGACAGCAUGCGAGUGGGAACGAGGGAGGGCGGGAACGAGAGCAGUGGGGGUGGAAGUGGGAGGUACAGCAAGGGGCUAGGGGAGUGAGAGACAGCAGGGGACAGCCAGCAGCGAGGAGGCACCGCCUGUGGGAGCAGCAGGCCGACCGGAGUGCACAUGUGCUCACACACACACCCGAGGGCUGUCCUGAGCGACUGAGGGGAAACUCAAGAGCACCCACGUCUGACCGCGUGCUUCUGCGCCCAGGCCUUCAGGAGGCAGCCGGGCCCUUCGGAGAGUCUCAGGACCAUCGGCUCAAAUCGGCUCUGCCCGCGCCCCCCACGCCGGGCUCUGUGCCGACACCUCAGGGCCUGGGGCCUGCUGUGGAUUCUGUGUCUCCCUCUCUCUGCCCCUCCCCCCUGCUCACACUCAGUCCCUCUGUCUCUCAAAAAUAAAUACAACAUUCAAAACAGUAAAUCAGCUCUGCCCCUUCCGGGCUGCUCCUCAGAGCAUCAGAUUCAGGGAAGGGACAGAUGCUCUGCAGCUGGCUCGGCCAUGUCGUCUCCUCCCUGCAUGCGCCGGAUCACGGGGAACACACAGGGACCCUAGAUACUCACCGCUGAGCAAGGAACAAUUCUAAGAGUUCCACAAGUGACGAUGGCUUGGAAGCCCGUGAGACACCGCUGAAAGGGGAAGGAUAAGGGCGGGGUGACGCCCAGCAGCCAGAGUAAAGACAGGCACGGCCCGGGCUGCUGAGGAAACCAGGACGUUCCUGUCCGUUCUCAGUGAACCUGAAUGUUACUGGAAACUCCACGCGCACCAGCCAAGCAGCCGGCUGUGUGGGGAAGUUGCCCAGCUGUUGUGUGAACGUGGUCCCCGCAGCCUCUGGAUCAACAUGGAAGGAAGUUCCAAAGCCUCGGGGCUGUGCAAGGCCGCAGCCCAGAACCUGUGCUUCUCAGGAGAUGAAAGCUUUGCUGGCCUCACGUGGCUCCUGUGGUUCUCCCAGGAGUAGGGCACAUAGGGUGGGUGAGGCUCAGGGACCAAGCCAAGACUCGUGAAGUGCAAAGACAGUGGAGAAUGCAGGCAGCUACACAUCUGACUGCAAGCAGCCAGCCCAGGACACCCACAGCCUCUUCCAGAGCCCCUUGCUGAGGACCUGUCUGCACUACUCCCAGUACUGAUCACCUGUAGGAGACAAGUCCCCCACUCUGGGCCUUGUCUUCUGGCUAUAAACUGAAGAUGGUUCCUAUUCCCUCCCAGGUGGGGGCAGUCGGAGUAAACACCUUAUUGGCUAACCAUUAAUGGCAUUUGUUGGACCGCGUGCAGAUUACGCACAAGGAAAGGAGCACCUGAGCCUUUAUGCUGAUGGCUGGGUAACCCAGGGCAUUUUCUUUGGAGUUUUGAACUGGAAAGCCAAAGCCAGGUGUGUCUCUGUCACCGAGGUAGUGAAUUUUCUGCCUAGCUGUUAUCUGUGGACUUCGUCUAUACAAUGCUAAGAUAGUAGGAGCCUGGGAAUGAGUGCUGUAUUCUCUAUGAAAGGGGGUGAUGUCCUAGCAGGUGUGGCUGGUGGAGGAGUCCAGAAGUUGGUUAUAGUGGCUGGGAAUGAGGUUCCAUUGCAGCUGCAGGACGGUGGAGAAGAAGGGUGAUCAAAGGUGUGGGGACGCAGUGGGUUAGACAGUGGCUUUGGGUUUCACUGAGAUGACAUUUGAACAAAGAUGUGAGGAGAAGCCACGAGCCAUAUGGCUGUUCUGCGGGAAGAGUGUAACCGAGGGAACAGGCCAGCACACAGGCCGAGGCUGCAGUGAGUCUGGGGAGGCGGCCAUUGUGACCAGCACAGACCAAGAGAGGGUGAGCCUAAUAAAUGGUAUCCGUCGCCAGAUCACGUGCGGCAGUGCUACUGAAAAUGACUUGAACUGAGACAGAGCAUUUACAGACCCGCCAAGCUCACAUCGCUGCUGUGUCCAAGUGCACUUCUGUAUCAUUAACAACAAACCACCUGGCUUUUCACAGAUAAUUGACAAGCUCUAAUGUAGGAGCCGGGACCCUACGUAAAGGACUUCGUAAGCACUUGAUGUUUUCUCAGUGAAACGGGGUGGCCUUGCAGGGCUCGAAGCACACAGGGAGUCAUUUUUAAAUGGAUCAUGUUGACUCUUUCCAUUUUUUUGGCUCAAGGCGGAGUAGUAGGGGUGAAGAGAAGGGCGUGCCCGUUAGAGCGCACUUGCUGAGGCAGCUUGAGACACACACAGGAGCCCUCACCGAACCAGCCCGUGGGCACUACAGUGAGCAGCAUGUGCUGGGAGCUCCCGAGGAACCGGCCGGCCUCACGCCCUUCUCAGCGGAGCACUGCUUCUUCCCACCUUGGGAUGGGACGUGCUGUGGUUUAGUUUCUCGCACCUACAGGGAUGACAGAUCCUCGAGACGGGGAUGGGCCAGUCAGGGCUACUCAACAUCAGAGGCAGAAGUCGACAGAAGUGGUCUACAAGUGGCCACGUCCUCUCGCGAGCCACAAGCCCUCACAGAUUCUCCCAACCAUGGAGACAGGCAUUACACUUACAGUGACAUCACUCAAGAGAAAUGAGUGGCAUUCAGGAUAAAGAACAAGAGUGCAGCUUUGGUAAAUACUCCACAACCCCUUCUCCAUUAGAGAGGAUGCCCUUUCCAGCAUGCUGAACGUGUCUGUUUUAGGAAAGACACCCACAGUGAGGUGGUUUCCCAGGGAUGACAGCAGACGGUGGUGACAGAGCUGGACAAACCAGCGUGGAACCUGUGGGGAAGUUACCCUUGCCCUGUGGGGUCCAGGCCUCCGUGAUCUCAUCGUGUGUCCCUUGUCCCCUGGCAGCAGGUGUGUGCUGGGGUGGAGAGACAGAGACUCCCCUGGCCAUUCUCUGUAAAACUCAACUUCAUGAGAAAUUCCAGACUCAUCAGAACAGCCAGACCCACAGGGCAGUGGCAAAAGAACUCUGGGAACAGGGCUUUCUGUGGACCCCGGAACAGUGUCGCACCAAGUUCAACUGCAUAGUUGAGAUACCAUAAAGUGAGGGGAGACUGUUGCUGAGCCAUAUGUCCUUGAUGAGGAAAUGGAUACCCUGUCAAGCUCCUGGGCCUCUGCACCCACGAUGGAAAGCAGUGCUAUUCUUGGCCAAGAGGGAAGGGUUACGGAGUUUGUGGGGAUAAGUCAGCAGAACGGGAAGCCCAGAGGUCAGAGAAGGGGCUAUGUGGAUGGUGCAGCCAGAGAUGAAAAGGACUUCUGGAAUCCUGGCCAGGGAGGUAGGAGACGUGACCUGCCAGUUCUGUUCCCACACAGUGCUGGUAGGAGUCUUGGCUCUGACGCACAAAGGACACAGGACCACCCAGAAGGCCUUAGCCUACCAUUCAAGUGGGAGCUGCCCCUGCUACUGGUGUGGUUACUGCCUUGAUGGAUGACCUUCCACGGGCCAGGGAGUCUGGCUCUCUCAGCAUUGAGGCUGUUUCCUCUGCCCUUCAGGGCCCAAGUCCGUAUCUGCCAGCCUCUUUCACAGAGCGCGUGUCAUUUUUCCUGUACAGCUCCUUGCGUUGGCUUCCUCAGGUCAGGCCUCCAGCCCAGACUUUCCUCUUCCCUCCUCCUCUAGUAUGAUCCUCCUUUCCUGACAAAGUAUCUGCUGGUCAGGUGCUCGCAGCACACUUUCUUCUCAUUUGGGCCAAACUUGGGAAGGCCUUUGGUUAGGCUGUCAAAAAUUGAGAUCAAACCUGCAGACAGACUGGCAGGUGACACAGAGCUGGCCUCCCUGCCUCAGUUUUGUCACUGUGUCCAAACAUCCAAAAAGGGACAGAACAAGAGAAAAUAAGGUGGAAUUUAGGGGUAUUUAUUUACCUGUGAACCCAGGGUUUGGAGCUUGAAAAUAUUACAACUGGAAAAUGAAAUUAGACUAUUAAUUAGUAGAAGACUGAAUCCUAUGAUGUAUUCCAUGUAAAUAUUCUUGAUGGUGCUUUAGUUGUAACUUUCCUCAUUCCUGCCUGUCAUUUUCCAGAGUCCAGCAUGUUUCUGUUCUCUCAGGUCUUGAGAUCACGAAUGGAAUUAAAAACGAGAAUCAAAAAUGGGAAGAUCCAGAGGAGGCAGAAGUGAAGAAGGCCCUUUGGAGAAAGUCUAGUGGCCUUUUUUGCCACCCUGAGACCAAGAGAGACAGGAAGGGUGAACCUAUGCCGAGAGAGCCACAUAGACGUUCUCCAGAUGAGCGGGAGGGGAUGGCCCUGUCCCAGGANGGCAGACGUGUCCUUGGGCUGUGGGAGUGGGAUCGGCGAGGGGGCGUAGCAUUUCACAGGACCGAGGAUUGAGUGGUGUUGACAUAAUGUGCAGAGGGCAGAGAGUGUGGUGGGGAGGCAUCAGGGACGAAGCUGAGGAAGUUCAAGAAGGAUCCAUGGCGUCGGGACAAUGAACAACACCUGGGAUGGCACGGAGAAGGGUGAGCAGUAGCACGUGUGUGGAGGCAGAGCUGGGACAGGUGAAUGGCAGGAACUCCUAUGGGUGACAAGUCAUCCUGCUCCAGUUCCCCUUGCCCUCUCCCUGUGGUGACAGUCUCUCUCUCUCUCUCUCUCUCUCUCUCUCUCGAUCUCUCCCGCAGCCCCUGCUGUUUCAGAGCCAAGCUCUUCCCAGGAAUGCGGACGGGACAGGAACGUGAGGGAUAACGCAGCCAUGUGAAACCUGUCUGGGGCACGAAGGGCACCGCGAGCAGAGGGGAGGGAGAGCGGAAGCUGACGGCACUUGCCAGGACACAGCGGCCUCUCCGCGCCACGCUCCUCACUCACUGGACAGACAGGACACAUCCUACGCUGCGGACUUAACGAAUGAAGGUGGCUCUGAAAGACACGAGUGGCUUUGAGGUGCCUGCCAGACGGCAGACACUGGGGAUUGCAGUGAACGGGACAGGCGUGGUCCAUGGCCUGCUGCAGCCUACACGCCAUGGGCAAAGAGAUGACAAACAAACAAAGAUACUCCCAGAUGAGUGCUCUGCAGGAACGAGCCCUCUGAUGUGAUGGAGAAUGACUGUGGGCAGCCGGGAAGUGGUACCGCCUCUCCGAGGGGAUGUUCACCUUAUUGUACGAUCACCAGCUCUCUCCAGUUCCAGAACAAUUUCAGCCCCCAACACGAAACUGUCCAUUAGGAAGUUACUUCUCAUUCUCUCUAUGGAUUUACCUGUUGUGGAGAUUUCAUAGAAAGGGUAUCACCUUCCGCACCUGCCCCCUCUCAUUUAGCAGGUUUAAGUCUGUAUCACCACUUCCAUCCUUUUCUUGCCUAAUACUCCCUCACAUGAGCAGACAUGGCUGGCCGUGUACGUGUCUUACAGUGAACCACCGUAUACGUUUUGAGGCCGUCCAUGGCCACUGCUGCCUUUUAUGUAUAAUUGAAAACUUCCAUUAUAGGGUACUCGGUGA